GCCAGCUUAGCUCAGUUGGUAGAGCAAUGCACUCGUAACGCAUAGGUCACAGGUUCGAUCCCUGCAGCUGGCACUA
rnacentral:tRNA from 1 species